GACGAACGCUGGCGGCGUGCUUAACACAUGCAAGUCGAACGGUGAAGCGAGUGCUUGCACUCGUGGAUCAGUGGCGAACGGGUGAGUAACACGUGAGUAACCUGCCCAUCACUCUGGGAUAAGCACUGGAAACGGUGUCUAAUACUGGAUACGACCAACCCUUGCAUGGGGUGUUGGUGGAAAGAUUUAUCGGUGAUGGAUGGACUCGCGGCCUAUCAGCUUGUUGGCGGGGUAAUGGCCCACCAAGGCGACGACGGGUAGCCGGCCUGAGAGGGUGACCGGCCACACUGGGACUGAGACACGGCCCAGACUCCUACGGGAGGCAGCAGUGGGGAAUAUUGCACAAUGGGCGAAAGCCUGAUGCAGCGACGCCGCGUGAGGGAUGACGGCCUUCGGGUUGUAAACCUCUUUCAGCAGGGAAGAAGCGAAAGUGACGGUACCUGCAGAGGAAGCACCGGCUAACUACGUG
rnacentral:rRNA from 1 species